UAGCCGUAAACGAUACUCGCUAGGUGUCGACCACGGUGCGACCGUUGUCGGUGCCGUAGGGAAGCCGUGAAGCGAGCCACCUGGGAAGUACGGCCGCAAGGCUGAAACUUAAAGGAAUUGGCGGGGGAGCACCACAACGGGUGGAGCUUGCGGUUUAAUUGGAUUCAACGCCGGAAAUCUUACCGGGACCGACAGCAACAUGAAGGCCAGGCUGAAGACUUUGCCGGAUUAGCUGAGAGGAGGUGCAUGGCGUAGUCGUGU
rnacentral:rRNA from 1 species